AUAGAAAAUUAUGUUUUUUUUAGUCAAAUUUUUAUUUAUUAAUACAUUGAAAAGAAAUAUGUAGCCAGAAAUGAAUGAUUGUGUUUCAGCUUAUCGUCGUGGAACAUUAAAAGGAAUCAGCGAUUAGAAAUCGGCCAAUAAGAUAACGCGAUAUUAACUUUAAAACAAAGGCUGAUCAGAGGAAAUUUAAAAGUGGUCGUUUUUAAAGUCAUCAGGAAGUUCGGAUUAAUCCACACUGGCUGGAAACACACUGAGGAAGAUUGAAACGUUUACCGUCGGACGUUUAUGCAAAUUACCAGUAUCUGCCUCCAAUGUUUUCAAACACGUGUCAAAGAACAGUCUGCGGGUCGGUACCCCCGCCACGGAUUUUUAUAUGCUCCAGCUAUGGCGCACACAAAGACGCUAAACAAAUUACACGCACGCACACUCGCGUGUCUCAAGGAAGCUCCCGACCAGUGUUUCUCAAAUCGGUAAGUAAAAUCUCUCUGAACCCCCAUCGGUUAUUUUCACAAUCGAUUAUUCAUUCCCGAACAAUAAUAUAUGGAUACAAACCGUACUCUAUAUUUAUGUUUUUCUAACGCGUAAAUAACGUUUCUAAAGUGCGUGUUAUGCAGACGCGUUCGCGUACAGAUACAAUAGGAUGCAGCGUAUCAUUUUACUUUUUUUUUUUUCAUUUAAAUAUAAAUAUAUGCAGCACGUCGAUACACGCUUAUUCAUAAGUGUACAUAAAUUUGCAUGCUAUGUUAAAAAUGAACUUUUAGCCGAAGAACAUCUACCAGCGCUUGGAUAAAAAUACAUGCAUAUCUCGUGUGAUCUGUUCUUUAUUUUUUCAUGAAUAUGCGUAUUAUCUAAGAUAUUACAGACGAAUUCUGUUUCUAUCCAGGAGCAUCGUCACUUUCACUGUUAUUCGCAAUGCAGUCGACAUUUUGAAAACUUAAAGCAAGGAAAUAGACAAGGACAUGAUAUUAUGCUUAUUUUUAUCUGUGACCAUGAAGGUUUAGAUUUGAAAAAGAAUCCAGUGUGUAUUUUUUCACUGAUUGGUUUUUUACAUCGCUCUAAAAAAAACAUUUCAAAUUCAAUGUCAGCAAUUCUAAUAGAAACGUACCAACUUUUCCUAUCAAAUUGCACAUAAAUAUGUACACGUAACGGUAUAAUUAGUCGUAUAUACGUGCAUAUCUAUCGUUCCUAAUGGGUCAUGGUAUUCUAUUUUAAAAGCAAAAAAUUGUGGAAUUAUGAAGAUUCACUUAAAAACUAAGAUUUGAUUAAUCUCGUGUUAAUGUAGCUCGACUCGUGAAAUAUUUUAUCGGACUCGUAAGCGCCACUUAUCUUUUUCCCCUGAUUCGAUCGACUAGUGAGAUAUAAUUUCAAGAAAAUGAUACCACCAGCACGAUAUAAAAGGCAACUGCUUCGUAAGCACGUAUCACGCAAUAGCGUAAUUGUGCAUUCAUUCACAUUCAAACGUAAAAAUGUAUUAGUUUAAAAGCACAUCCGACGUAUCUAUAAUACAGACGAAUUAUGAUUAGUAGUAGUGGUGUUAAUGACGAUAAUAGCAGCAGUAGUAGGUAAGAACAUUCCAGUCCUACGUGUGACGUCAGAGUGCUCUGGAAUAAACCCGUUGUGUCACGCGGACGAGCGAAAUUUCCCGCUCUCCGAAACUCUCGAACGCGAUUGGUCGAGUCAAAGGUGUGUCGAUCGCGAGCGAAGUCGAUUGGUCGAACGUGCCAAGCCUCUUGUAAGCAUGCGAGUCUCGUCGCGAACUUAACGUCCUAAUUAUAGCUACAACACGAUGCGAAUGCGAAAAUUUUAUCGGGACUUUCAAAGAAAAAUCGAUAAGGGGAACUGUUAGUUCAAUGAUCCACGAUCGCUCGAUGAAUAAGCACAUCACUUCAAACGAAUUGAUCUUCACGGGAACGAAAAUAAAAGGUAACAUUCCUUUAUCUCUUAUCGUCGGUGCGCGUUGAAUGGCAAUUUUGCAUGACAAUCAAACUGUUGAAGCAACGCAAAGCAAUGCCAAUACCAAGUACACGGGUCCUUUCGUCACGACUAUUUGUAGCGAUAGUAAGCAGGACACAUACCAGUAAAAUAAAAAAGGAGAGUGAAAUUCUUUGCUCAACAUUGUUUUCGAGUAAUUGCCACAAUGUCACAUGUGGCCGUGAUAGCGCAUACUUUGUAAGUACAGGAUUACCGAUACAACCUUGGCCUAAUGCAAGUCUUUAACAUAGUUUCAGAUUAUAGUCAUCUUCGAUUAAUUUCCUAUAUCAUUUGGAUCCAAAGGUAUUGCGAGAGCUAACGCGUGAAACAAAUCAGAAAUAUUGACUGAUAUUAUUCAAUCUCGAUUACAAAUAUUAUGCAAACUUCUUCAUUGAAAGGUACACGUUUUCUUAACAGUCUUGUUCCCUCUUGUAUGUACUCGUACACUUGAAACACUUUCGUAUACAACAGAUCGCCUAUUAUUGGUAACAAUCAAAUUUUUUUUUUCCUAUUAACAACGUAAACAUCAACAAGCUCUACUCAUCAAGAAUACCGUGAUCGAUUUCACUAUUACAACGUUCGCGCGUUCGUUUCGAAUUUAAAAGACAACGAACCUGACCGCCUAAAAAGGAACGACAACGCUUCGGUCACCUUUAACACGUUAAACUGGGAUCAACAAUUCAAAUGGUGAGAGAAAAUCUGCGGAUACUUUGAACGGUACCAUGCUAAUGCCCAUUCGCACCCUAUUCAGAAGCUCGAAAUAAGCACAAUAGCCAGUGGAACCAUAGCGACUUGUAAGGAAGAACAAAUUUUCACGUUUUCAACUAUCGCCGAUCGAUUACACGAUACAGAAAUCGAAAGCGAGUUCGAAUGAAAAUGAUACUUUACCUGAUCUGGCCCAUUGUUGUCACUGGCUAGUACCGUCUCAAUGCAAAACCGGACGCUGCCUGUUAAUCAUGGUGCUCACGUCGCGUAGACUAAUUUUACAAUUAAGAACAUUCAAGUCAAAGUGCUUGUACAACCUGGAGAACGUUUGAACGACGCAUUACCUUUAACCUUCAGCUGCUCGGUACUUUAAGCAUAACGAUAUACCCUCUCCUUCUCGGUCAUAGGAUCGAACGUUACUCCAGUUUAAGCAUGUAUUAGACUCGUUCAAUUAUUCUAUAAAAUUAUUGCCUCUGCGUGUAAUCGUUUACUUUUUCCUUUUUUGGUCAACAACCAAAAUGUUUCAGGAAAAUAAAUAGAGUUCCAGACAGAAGGCUUCCGAGAUAAUUGAAACACGGUUCAUUGGACUCCUUAUCGCUGAUUUAAGAGGAAGCUACAGUGAGUCGUAUUAACCCAAGAAUUUCUACCUUUUCCACUUAAUCUUUUAUUACUAACCAUCAAUGAUGACUCACCGAUUGAAAUUCUAAAAAUAUAAUUUUUUGGAUAAAUAUGUGCAGCAGAAAAAAUGAAUGCGCUAAAGUUUCCUUAUUGAGAACAAUUGUUGCUAAUUGGAACAACGUAGCCGCUGGUAGCGUAAAAGUGUGAUAAAUUUAUAAACGACAUCUGUGUCGUUCGCAUCGCAAAAAUAAACGUUGAUAAGGGAGUGAAAUCGAGGAAACAACGAAACGACCUUUAUCCAGUCACUGAUUCUCUUCUAUUCCGAAACUCUACGUAUUCUACUGCGUGUAGGAAAAAAGCAAAUAGAAAGAAGAUGAUAAGAGCUAUUUGAGAAGAGUUGAAAAAUUUCGUUACCUUUGGUGCCGGGGUUAAGGCUGUUGGUGUCGUAACUUGUUCCUGAAUUUCGCUGUUCGACUAAAUUGCCAUCGUAAAGCAGCUUGCAAAAAGGAGAGACCAUGAAUUAAGUAUUAUCGUAAUGUCGGCGAUAAAAAUGAGUACUUUACGAAAUACUAUUUAUCAAUAUUGGCAAAUGAAUGGAGAUUGUGAAAUUGUUCAAAUGAAAUCGAGAAUUAAGAUUAAAAAAAUGGACGCUCCAAAUUAAAUUACAGAUAAUGAUUCUGAAAUGAACAGUGUUAGAAAAUGAAAAAAUAAUUACAAACUCUGCACGAACGGAUAUGCUCGAAAAGGGUUGACAGUGAAUUGUCAACGUGAGUAUUUUUUUUUAUUAUCGAUUAGUUCAUGUAUGAAUUGACAUGACGCGGACCAACUUGCGAUUGAUGAAGAAACGAAGCUAGCUACGCAAUCUUCUACUCCAUUUUUAUCUGUCUCUGACCAAUUAAAUUGCAAUAAAAUAGAGCACUUAAAUUAAAAACUCAUAAACUCGUUGACUAAGGCUCAGAUUAAGUAUUCAUGUUUUAUUUAUUAAAAUUAAAUUUAGAAAAAGAUUGUAGAACAGUAUGAAAAUGGAAUGAAAUCACAUUAAUCGAGAGCUUGUGCGUUAUAAAAACCCAUUUAGCAUAACACAAUGUUGUAACGAUAGAUAUAGACAAGGAUUGAGAAGGUCACGCAGAGGUUAUCGGCAAGGCCUCUUGCUUGUACGUAAAUUGUAUAUAAACAAUCUAUGUCUCGAUCAAUGCAAAGAAAACAAUAUCGUUCAACAUUAUAUACAAGGGUCGUAACCUGUGAUAAAUAAAUUCGAUAUAUUGUUGUGAACCAAAGGAUGAGAUAAA